UUUAUGGAGAGUUUGAUCCUGGCUCAGGACGAACGCUGGCGGCGUGCCUAAUACAUGCAAGUCGAGCGAAUCUUUGGGAGCUUGCUCCUAAAGAUUAGCGGCGGACGGGUGAGUAACACGUGGGCAACCUACCUUACAGAUGGGGAUAACUCCGGGAAACCGGGGCUAAUACCGAAUAAUCCAUUUCUUCGCAUGAAGAGAUGUUGAAAGACGGUUUCGGCUGUCACUGUGAGAUGGGCCCG
rnacentral:rRNA from 1 species